CAAAAACAUGUCCUUUUGUUUAUUUAUUUAAGGUCUGACCUGCCCAAUGAGGAAUUGAAUGGCCGCAGUAUUCUAACUGUGCUAAGGUAGCAUAAUCAUUUGUCUUUUAAUUGAGGGCUGGAAUGAAGGGUUGGACGAGGUAUUGACUUUCUUUAAUUUAAUUUGGUGAAUUUAAUUUUUGAGUUAAAAAGCUUAAAUUUAUUUAUGGGACGAGAAGACCCUAUAGAUCUUUAUAGUUUUAUACUUUGGUAAUUUAGGGAUUUAUUUAUUUUAAGUAGAUUAACUAUUUUGUUGGGGUGACUGUAGAAUUUGAAUAACUUCUAUUUUUUAUUUUCAUUAAUUAGUGUUUUUAUGAUCCAUAGUUUAUGAUUAGAAGAUUAAGUUACCUUAGGGAUAACAGCGUAAUUUCCUCGGAGAGUUCAUAUUGAUGAGGGAGUUUGCGACCUCGAUGUUGGAUUAAAAUAAGUCAUGGAUGCAGGAGUCUAUUUACUAGGUCUGUUCGACCUUUAAAUUUUUACAUGAUCUGAGUU
rnacentral:rRNA from 1 species